CAAGAAAGCGUCGCUGAUGAAAGUAGGUAGGCUACAUUAAGUACUCCAAUUUAAUUGCACGAUGUACUUUUACUAGACGAGUUGCUGCUUUACAGCAGACGGCCUAAUUUGUUUUGCAAAAGCGGGAAUCCCCUAACUGACAGGAACUUCUUCGAUGACGUCAAAGUUACUACUGGUGAUAUGCCAAUGAAUGAAUAAUGUAGAACACACCAAUCAGAGUGAAGUCCCCUUAGUCACAUGACACUUCCUGCUUUGCAAGAGGAGGAAGAAUAGUUUUGUUCUAAGCUUCUCUUUUCUGACCUUCCCAAGUUUGACUGAGGAUGGAACCUUGAAGAAAUGGACAUGACCAUUACUUGCUAGAACUGUUCACAUCGUACCGAUAUCUUCUCGCAGUGUGAAAGUGUUGUGCACUCAGAUUGACAUCAGUGAGUUGUUCUGGUUCAAAUCCCAGUCUCACUCAACGUGACUCUUGUUCCCGAAGUCCCGAAGUCGGCUGCAGAAUCAUUUUUGACGGUUUGUGGUAGUGUCUUGUUGGAAGCAGUACCCUGGUCCUACCCAAGUCACUCGUUUGUUGACAGUAUUUUUCUGGAUUUGUUUCCUGAUCUACGAGUUUGACUGAGGAUGGAACCUUGAAGAAAUGGACAUGACCAUUACUUGCUAGAACUGUUCACAUCGUACCGAUAUCUUCUCGCAGUGUGAAAGUGUUUAUUUCAGAUUGACAUCAGUGAGUUGUUCUGGUUCAAAUCCCAGUCUCACUCAACGUGACUCUUGUUCCCGAAGUCGGCUGCAGAAUCAUUUUGGACGGUUUGUGGUAGUUGGAAGAAGUACCCUGGUGCUACCCCAAGUCACUCGUUUGUUGACAGUAUUUUUCUGGAUUUGUUUCCUGAUCUACGAGGUAGGUCAUUUCAAACCAGGCAGGUUUUGUUGCUGUAGGGUACAACCUAAGAGCAAAUACAUUUACAAGUGUAUAUUAUGUUCAAGCUUGGGUGGGUCUCCAUCAAUCAACAAAUCUACUCACUUAUUUAGGUCGGAGGUAGCUGU
rnacentral:sRNA from 1 species